UACGUAGGGUGCGAGCGUUAUUCGGAAUUACUGGGCGUAAAGCGCUCGUAGGUGGUUCGUCGCGUCGUGCGUGAAAGACCCCGGCUCAACUGGGGAGGGUCGUGCGAUACGGGCGAACUGGAGGCCAGUAGGGGGAUGCGGAAUUCCGGGUGUAGUGGUGGAAUGCGUAGAGAUCCGGAGGAACACCAGCGGCGAAGGCGGGUAGCUGGGCCAACACUGACGCUGAUGCGCGAAAGCUAGGGUAGCAAACGGG
rnacentral:rRNA from 1 species